UACCAUUCUCUUUCAGCGGUUUAAGAUACGCCUAAUUGCUGGGAACAAAUGCACUAAUAAGUGGACAAUAUAUUGUCUUCAGAUCUUCUUGAUGUGGACAUGAGCCAUUGAAAACUGUUGGACUGUUUAUCUUCUUUAACUUGUAGGCUUGUUCAAAUACUUAGGGAUUAACUAAAGUGACGUUCAAUGUGCCUUUUGUACCAAUCGACUAGACCUUCUAAUUCAUCUAUUGCCACUUACUUGAAGACAAGGGAGUAUAUAUUUACCCGUUGAUAGAACCUUCUAUUCAAAUACUCUUUUUCUAGUCAUACUUACUAAUCAAAGGCUUCCUGGUGAGGCAUUUACACCAUACACUUUUUGAGAUUUUACAUUAUUAGAUCCAUAUGUAUUAUAUUGUUUAGAUUGUAAGAUUCAAAUUGUGUAAUGAUGUUGGAUUUUAGGAUCCAGCCCAUUGUGAACAGGUUUUUCUGAGUGUUGUAAAAACUGUAAAAGGGAUCAUGAUAUCUUUCACCUUGGAAUUUCCAAUGUUAUAUUUCAAGUUUAGUUUGUACUUCUUGAUGCUGACCAUGACUUAUCUUUUUGCAGAGGUCCACGAUGGGUAAGUGUGAACUUAGCUUACUUUCAAGUUUGCUUACACGAUUGAAAGUCAACUUAGCUUUCCUCUGUCUAGGAAUGCGAAUGAGUCACUGAAAUGCAACAUAUACUUGCCUCAGCUCUGAUUUGUCAAACUAGUAUCUAUUAGAAUUUUGAUGCAUCUCAAUAACUGCUUCGUGUCAACUGCAGGUAAGAUCUGCAACCCUGGACACAUGGCUUCCAGAGCAGGUUGCAUUUAUUCAAUCAAUGGGAAAUGAAAAGGCAAAUAGCUAUUGGGAAGCAGAACUCCUCCAAACUAUGACAGAGUUGGAAUAGAGAACUUCAUUCGUGCAAA